rnacentral:ncRNA from 2 species
CUUCAUCAUUACGAUUAGCGAUACGCUAAACCAACCUCUGCAAACACAGGAAGGUGGUAAAACGAUGAGCAGUCACUGACUGAAAAAUAUGUUAUUAC